rnacentral:rRNA from 1 species
CGUAGGGUGCAAGCGUUAAUCGGAAUUACUGGGCGUAAAGCGUGCGCAGGCGGUUUUGUAAGUCUGUCGUGAAAUCCCCGGGCUCAACCUGGGAAUUGCGAUGGAGACUGCAAGGCUAGAAUCUGGCGAGAGGGGGGUAGAAUUCCACGUGUAGCAGUGAAAUGCGUAGAGAUGUGGAGGAACACCGAUGGCGAAGGCAGCCCCCUGGGUCAAGAUUGACGCUCAUGCACGAAAGCGUGGGGAGCAAACAGGAUUAGAUACCCUGGUAGUCCACGCCCUAAACGAUGUCUACUAGUUGUCGGGUUUUAAUUAACUUGGUAACGCAGCUAACGCGUGAAGUAGACCGCCUGGGGAGUACGGUCGCAAGAUUA